ACUUGUAAAAUAUUAAUUUACAUAUCAUGAAUGCAACUCAAGCACUUUAAUUAAGCUAAAAUCUAAUC
rnacentral:tRNA from 1 species